GUGCAAUACUCAGAGACAUGGCCAAGGUAAGAAAGGCUGAAAGACGACCACCACUGAACAAGACACACAAGCUGAAACGUCAAGACUGGGCCAAGAAAUAACUCAAGACUGAGGUUUUAUGGACUGAUGAAAUGAGAGUGAGUCUUGAUGGGCCAGAUGGAUGGGCCCGUGGCUGGAUUGGUAAAGGGCAGAGAGCUCCAGUCCGACUCAGACGCCAGCAAGGUGGAGGUGGAGUACUGGUUUGGGCUGGUAUCAUCAAAGAUGAGC